rnacentral:rRNA from 1 species
AAUACCGCAUAAGCCCACGACCCGGCAUCGGGAAGAGGGAAAAGGAGCAAUCCGCUUUGAGAUGGCCUCGCGUCCGAUUAGCUAGUUGGUGAGGUAACGGCCCACCAAGGCGACGAUCGGUAGCCGGACUGAGAGGUUGAACGGCCACAUUGGGACUGAGACACGGCCCAGACUCCUACGGGAGGCAGCAGUGGGGAAUAUUGCACAAUGGGGGAAACCCUGAUGCAGCGACGCCGCGUGGAGGAAGAAGGUCUUCGGAUUGUAAACUCCUGCUGUUGAGGAAGAUAAUGACGGUACUCAACAAGGAAGUGACGGCUAACUACGUGCCAGCAGCCGCGGUAAAACGUAGGUCACAAGCGUUGUCCGGAAUUACUGGGUGUAAAGGGAGCGCAGGCGGGCGAUCAAGUUGGAAGUGAAAUCCAUGGGSUCAACCCAUGAACUGCUUUCAAAACUGGUCGUCUUGAGUAGUGCAGAGGUAGGCGGAAUUCCCGGUGUAGCGGUGGAAUGCGUAGAUAUCGGGAGGAACACCAGUGGCGAAGGCGGCCUACUGGGCACCAACUGACGCUGAGGCUCGAAAGUGUGGGUAGCAAACAGGAUUAGAUACCCUGGUAGUCCACACCGUAAACGAUGAAUUACUAGGUGUUGGGAGAUUGACCCUCUCAGUGCCGCAGUUAACACAAUAAGUAAUCCACCUGGAGAGUACGACCGCAAGGUUGAAACUCAAAGGAAUUGACGGGGGCCCGCACAAGCAGUGGAGUAUGUGGUUUAAUUCGACGCAACGCGAAGAACCUUACCAAGUCUUGACAUCCCUUGACGAUGCUGGAAACAGUAUUUCUCUUCGGAGCAAGGAGACAGGUGGUGCAUGGUUGUCGUCAGCUCGUGUCGUGAGAUGUUGGGUUAAGUCCCGCAACGAGCGCAACCCUUAUGGUCAGUUACUACGCAAGAGGACUCUGGCCAGACUGCCGUUGACAAAACGGAGGAAGGUGGGGAUGACGUCAAAUCAUCAUGCCCUUUAUGACUUGGGCUACACACGUACUACAAUGGCGUUAAACAAAGAGAAGCAAGACCGCGAGGUGGAGCAAAACUCAGAAACAACGUCCCAGUUCGGACUGCAGGCUGCAACUCGCCUGCACGAAGUCGGAAUUGCUAGUAAUCGUGGAUCAGCAUGCCACGGUGAAUACGUUCCCGGGCCUUGUACACACCGCCCGUCACACCAUGAGAGCCGGGGGACCCGAAGUCGUAGUCUAACCGCAACGAGGACGCCGCCGAAUGUAAACUGGUGAUUGGGGUGAAGUCGUAACAGUA